rnacentral:rRNA from 1 species
CCUACGGUGGGCUGCAGUGGGGAAUAUUGCACAAUGGGGGAAACCCUGAUGCAGCGACGCCGCGUGAGUGAAGAAGUAUCUCGGUACGUAAAGCUCUAUCAGCAGGGAAGAAAAUGACGGUACCUGACUAAGAAGCCCCGGCUAACUACGUGCCAGCAGCCGCGGUAAUACGUAGGGGGCAAGCGUUAUCCGGAUUUACUGGGGGUAAAGGGAGCGGAGACGGCAGCACAAGUCGGGAGUGACAUCCCGGGGCUUAACCCCGGAACUGCUUUGGAAACUGUGCGGCUGGAGUGCAGGAGGGGUAAGCGCAAUUCCUCUUGUAGCGGUGACAUGCGUCGAUAUUAGGAGUAACCCCGGUGGCGACGGCGGCUUACUGGACUGUAACUGACGUUGAGGCUCGACAGCGUGGGGAGCACACCGGAUUAGAUCCCCUUGUAGUC